CCAAAAUCUACAGUACUACAGUACUCAGCCGCAACUGCUUUAAUCACAAACUACAAUGGAUGUGAAACAAAUCAACGAGACCAGGCAAACGAAAAAAAACAAAACCAAAUAAGUUACCAAGCACCGCUGUGCAUUGUGGUUAAAAAAAAAAAAAAGUCCAGACACAAAUGUGACCUUUGUUAGUGAUCUCAGCCACCACCGAACAGCUACUGCUAAUGUAGGACCUGGGGAAAUCGUGUAUGUGUGUGUCAGCCAUACAGGCACAACAUUUACACACACUGGUUACAUCAAAGCUGCGACUCCCACAUUAGAGGUCAGGAAACUGAAUUACAACUUAGAGAAGGCCGAGGGAGGCUCUGCUGUAGAUGUGAACGCACAUGGACUCCAGGCCCGGCAGCAUGUGUCGGCUCUUUUCUCACAUACACACAUGCUUCCAAUCCAACCCACCGCCCCGUCUCCCUGAUGUUGUGUGAGAUUAUCACAGCGGCAUCUGAAUUUACUUAAGACGAACGCCCAUAAAACUUCAAAUGCGGAGGUCUGUGGGGCCCACUCCGUCCCCCUCUACUCCUGAGGGGUUUGUGGGAGAAAAAUCAUGUUGUUUUCAACAUUUUCAAGGUACAUUGCAGGUAUUCAUUUAAUAACAUCUAUUCUACUUUUUUUUUUGUGCCUUAAUUACCAAACCAGACCAGUGUUAUUUUUGUUGUAAUUUUCAUCAAAGGAAAUUGUGUAGGCCUAAAUAAUGAUGUUAGUUAACCAGUAACAACAUGAUGAAAAAAUCUGAUGAAGUCCAAUCAGAUCCAAUCAUUGAGGCUGAGAGCCAAUCAGAGCUAUGUUUGAAAUACAAUUUGUUGCCAACAGUUUAAUACUACUGUAGGAAUACUAUAAUAUAAAACUGUAUAAUUUGUUGUUAGAUAAUAUACUGUUAAUACAAUGCUAAUUAGAAUGAAUAAAAUAUAUAAAUGAAUUAUAUUAGUUAAAAUAAUUUCUGAUAAAAACAGUUCUCUAUAUAACAGUAUUCUGCAGUACUUCGUGUGACCUUUUUUUCCACAUAGUUGCCAUGUGACCUAUUUCCUUCUCGACCCUCUAACUGUCCAAUUACAAGGCAGACAAUGAUGGAUGUAUAAGACAAAAAUGUGACAGAUUGUGUUAUUAGACUGUUAGCACAGAGGUCAUGUGAUGAAGUGACCAGUGUACAGUAAUGAGCUGAAGGCACGUUGGAACUGAUGCAUCGUUUUCUGUACCAUUACAGGCAGUCAACAUAAGGGUCGCCGCCUUCGCCCACUCACCUCGCCGUGGAGCAGCUCUCUCCUGCGACCCUGCGGCUCAGCUGGAUCAACGAGAGGGAAAAACAAGAACAUCCCUGGCGGUCCGAGCCUCCUCAAAACUCUGCCUGUUUUCUGAGGCCACCAGGGCCUUCAGCUCCUCAGCUCUGGACACAUACUGGCUGACCUGGGAAAAGACGUCGACUCAAUCACCUCAACCACACCACGUGCUCUCCAGCCACACCAAUUACCUUCUGCCUCAGCGUUUCUUUACGUUGUCGAUCUACCUCAUCUGCAAGAAGGUAAAGAAGAAAAAAAACUUGUGAAUCGCUGGGACAAAGUGCUCUACGGCAGCGCAGUACAGUGAGAGAGCAGCCGACCGCUCUCCUUCCUGAUCUUUCUGAACGGCCUGAAGAACCAACUCUUUCUGAAAGGGAACAUUGGAGCUGGCUUUCUGCACUGGGCAUGUGCUCCAAAUCCACAAAAGGGUGAGCAAAGAAUUCCUUAAAGGUGAUCCGAACAUCUGGAUUUCUCUCCAGCAGCCGCAGCAGAAGGUCCCUGCAGUCCUUGGAAACCCUGGCCCCAGGA